GGAUAAGCGAAACAAAUAAAAUAAUAAAUGAAUUGGCAGGUAAGCUUUCAGCUUUCAGCCUUGAGCAUUAAGCUCAAAAGAAAUUCAGGUGCCUAUAUCGGCGGUGUCUACCUCUUCCCAUUCCGAACAGAGAAGUCAAGCCCGCCAGAGCCGAUGGUACUGCGGUAAAACGUGGGAGAGUAGGUCGGUGCCACCC
rnacentral:rRNA from 1 species